rnacentral:misc_RNA from 1 species
GAUUAUCAAAGCAAAGAGAAGGCUUAUGGUGAAAUUUUGAUUCAUUCCUCUUAUUUUUUCUAAGUUUUGAUUACAUUCAUUACUUCACUGUAGAUUCUUAGAAGAUAUUUUAAUUUAAGUUGCAAAUAAAUACAAAAAAGUUAAGUGGGCAACUAAAUGCUUGAAACUGCUAAGAAAUGACCUACUUGCCGGCUGCCGCAUAUUCUAACCAUAACCACUCAUUCUUAAAGCUCAUUAAUCUGCAAGGCUCCUUCAAAACAAGUAUCAAGA